rnacentral:rRNA from 1 species
CCUACGGGAGGCAGCAGUGAGGAAUAUUGGUCAAUGGACGCAAGUCUGAACCAGCCAUGCCGCGUGCAGGAAGACGGCUCUAUGAGUUGUAAACUGCUUUUUUACGAUGAUAAAUCCCUGUACGUAUAACGGGUUGACAGUAUCGUACGAAUAAGGAUCGGCUAACUCCGUGCCAGCAGCCGCGGUAAUACGGAGGAUUCAAGCGUUAUCCGGAAUUAUUGGGUUGAAAGGGUCCGUAGGCGGUUCGAUAAGUUAAAGGUGAAAGCCCGGGGCUCAACUCCGGCACUGCCUCGGAUACUGUCUGGCUAGAGUUUAGUUGAGGUAGGAGGAAUGUCUGGUGUAGCGGUGAAAUGCAUAGAGAUCAUACAGAACACCGAUUGCGAAGGCAGCUUACCGAACUACGACUGACGUUGAGGCACGAAAGCGUGGGGAGCAAACAGGAUUAGAUACCCUUGUAGUC